AUGAUCAAACCCCUCAUUCCGCUCUUGGUCCAUGGUGACCAAACCGGUUUCAUCUCGGGGAGGUGUAUUGCCGAAAACUUCAUCUAUGCUGCCGACCUUCUCAGUGCUUGCCACGCUAGGAAGGCACCCACUAUGGUUUCCAAACUUGAUUUCCACAAAGCUUUCGACUCCAUCAGUUGGGACUCUCGCCUUCUCAUCUUGCACGCCAGGGGUUUCCCAACGAAAACUAUUAGCUGGAUCAGAACGUUGUUGGCCUCAAGCAAGACGGCUAUCCUCCUAACUGGAAAACCAAGACCUUGGAUCAACUGUAAAAACGGUCUUCGGCAAGGGGACCCCCUCUCCCCUUACCUUUUCAUAAUCAUCGCAGACCUUCUCCAGCGCUUAAUCCUUCGGGCUUUCUCUCCAAACAUUCUCUGUCACCCAAUCUACAAGGAUCGCCCACCCACGGUGCUUCAAUACGCGGACGACACUUUAAUCAUAGCCCUUGCCUCCACCCAAGACGAAACCACCCUCAAGGAUAUUCUCGACCAAUUCACCCUCGCUACCGGCCAUACCAUCAACUUUCACAAAACUACGUUCGUUCUCCUCAACACGGAUACCGUCACUACACAGAACAUUGCCCUCACCUUCGGCUCUGACCCUUCUUCCUUCCCUCAGAUUUACCUGGGCCUACCACUAUCCCACAUACGACUGCCCUCCUCUACCUUCGAACCUAUCAUCCAACGGUUCCUAAAGUACCUUUCCGGUUGGGUGGCAAAGCUGCUCUCCCGCGGGGCCAGAUUAACGCUUAUAUCCGCCACUCUCGACGCCCUCGCCACUCACUUCAUGUCUGUUUUUAGGCUCCCCAAGAAGAUCAUCAAAAGACUAGACGCCAUUCGCAGAUCCUUUUUCUGGGCUGCCGACGAAACAUGCUCCGGGGCCAAAUGCCUUAUUGCAUGGAAAAAAGGUCUUCACCCCUAA
rnacentral:rRNA from 1 species